rnacentral:rRNA from 1 species
AGAGUUUGAUCCUGGCUCAGGAUGAACGCUAGCGGCAGGCCUAAUACAUGCAAGUCGAGGGGCAGCAGGGUAGCAAUAUCGCUGGCGACCGGCGCACGGGUGCGUAACACGUAUACAAUCUGCCUUUAACAGGGGGAUAGCCUUUCGAAAGAGAGAUUAAUACCCCAUAAUACUGAAUGUGGCAUCACAAACAGUUGAAA